rnacentral:misc_RNA from 1 species
AACAGCAAAUUAACCAGGUAAAAAGAAGAGCUAACUUCUCUUCAGUAUUAUUAUUGGACACGAGUCUUCAUGAUGUACAUGAAAAUAUAUAUAUAUUUUUUAUUCCUCCCUUUUUUUUCAUAACCUUACCAAUGCGUUUUAAAAUGAAUUUAUGGUAAGAUUGGAGCGGAUGACACUAACAAAUGGGAUGCAAUUUCAACCAGUCGUAGAAUCAGGUGCAAUAAAUAGGCAAAAUCCUCAGUUGCCAUGCAGUUGUUGAAAGAAGUUUUUGCAGGCUUCAUAGGUGGACCAGCUAAUGGCAGCAGCAGGAGCAUGGAAGAGCAUCCUGGGGAUCCAUCCCCUCAUAAGCCCAUGGUAACCAUCCUUCUUAACUAUGGUUUUAAUCACAUUCCCAAUUGAGCUACUGGAAAAUCUAUAACACCCACAAACUCCCUGUCUCACCAAAACAAACCCAUCACCAAUCAGUUAUUAACAUAAUGAGAGCUUUUACUUGUAUCCAACAGCUCUGCUGAAAUUUAACGUUACCUGGCACUGUAACUGCGUUUUCACCACAUCAAGCGGGGUAGUAACAGCAGCAGCCAAGGCCCCAGCAGCUGCACCAGCUGUGGCAUGAACCACCAGCCGCUCGUCACUAGCACUCUCCGGGGACACCUCCAUCAACGCCCUCUUCGCCGCUUCAUAAGUCGUAAAGUAAACGGCCGUAAACGGCGCAUUCAUAAUUACCGUAGUCCUAUACGACGCGUAGAACGCCCCUGCUCCCUCCUCCAUCAAUACUCUCUUGACGCAAUCCCCAACUCCCUUGUACGGACUGCUAUUCAGCUGCAGCCUCUGCUUCACCAUGUCCAUCGGCGUGAACACCGCAUCGCUCGCCACCGUCGCGAAAACGCCGGAGACGGCGUGCGCCAUUGAAUUAUUCGGGUUCCCACGGGAAAAGAACUGCUUGCAGAGCUCGUACACGGAGAAGUAAACGGCGUGAGCAGGUCCAGCUCCGAGUCCCAUGGCGCCGAUACCGCGAUAGAGUCCAGCUGGGCCCUCGAGUUUCAAGAUAGAGCCAAGAGACUGGCGGACUCCAAUGGACUGGGGCGGGCAAGACCCGCCAAAAGCUUGCAUGCGAGUCUUGAGAGUAUCAACGGGAAACAUGGCCAUGUGUUCGACGGAGCCAGCGAUGGAACCGGCAAUCAUGUAUUGCCAGAAACGAAGGCCAUCAUGGGAGACGGAGAUAUCUGGAAUAUCGGGGUGGUGGAAGUCGGCAGCCCGAUAUUUCGGGGAGGCAUCGGUGGCCAUCGGUGAGGGAAUGAAUGAAAGAGGAAAAUGUGAUGAGGGUUUAAAAGGGGAAGUGGAUAAUUGAGGCCUGGAAAUCGCUUUCGGGCGGAGUGAUGGGAUUGGGUUGUCGCCAUACACCAAAGUUAUCUUUUUUUUGAUGCUAAGAGAGAUUUUAGAUUUUGGAGUUGGAAUGAGAAAGAGACUGUCAGCUGAAAAAGAAGUAGCAGAAACGAAUCAUCAUCAAGUGGAGAAGAUAAUGGAAACAGUUUUCAUGGUUUUCACUUUUGAAGAAAAAGAGGUAAUCCAGAACCAGAAGUAGUUUAUGUUAGCAUUAAGCUGCGACUACUUAAAGAAUUAAAGCUAAUCAUGUAAUGUAAUGAGAAUGGUUUUCAAAACGAAAUAACACCAACCAAGCAAUCCUAGUUGUUACCUUUGACCAUUAUUUAUUGAAUUAAGAUAUUGCGG